rnacentral:lncRNA from 1 species
AUUUAUACUCCAGUUUCAGUUCCGUUGAUUCAAAGUUUUGGGACUUAGGACAAGUUUGCUAGCUUCUCUGAGCCUCAGUUUUUUAAACCGUUAAAUAGGAAUAACAGCAUGCUGAGUGCCAAGAAUUAAAGAAAAAUUUAUGUGAAAAUAUAGAUUAGAAAGAAAACUAAUAUAAAUGCAGGGGAUUAUGAUCAUAAUACUCAUAAAACUUCAGUACUCCCUGGGAAGAUCCAAUGGCCGUCAGUCAUGUGCACGUGAUCAGAAUCUGGGCCAUCAUAUUUUUUUAAGCAAGUUGAUGGCCUGAGGGUUCUUGGCCAGGUGGGAGGAGGCUGCUCUGGGAUGUUGAAGAGAGAUUUUAAAAAGGAGAUGGAAGGCUGUGAAAACAUAGUUCAAAUUGGAGGGAGCUUGGGCAGAUACCACCUUUUCUUUUAAGGAAUGAAUGUAAUUGCUUGCAUUUUGUCUCUACUUCCUUCCUCUCAUUGAUUUAUUCCGAAGGCUAGAGUUUCUACUUUACAUUCUAAUUCAUCUGACAUAGCGUGUUUUUAAAAAACUUAGCAUUGCUUGCUUUGAUUUUCCAGUUGACUUUUGCUGAUGGAGCCUCUCUGAAGGGCAAAUUCAAAGUACAGCUGGGUGCUGCAGCACUGGAGUGCGAACUUGUGGCUGUGGUUAUGAAGGAGCCUCGUCAGCUAUGCCUUUAGCCCCUGGUGAAGCAGUGCCAGUCACACUUUGCCAGUCAAACGGAGAGGCAGCAGUAGUAAGACCAGACCAAAUCAAACCAAACCAAGCAAACCACGGGGAAUGGAGGUCAUGUGAGCACACAGCAUAAAGGCAGCUGCCCACAAGCCAGGAAGAGAAGCAUCAUCAGAAACCGACCAUACUGGCUUCCUGAUCUCAGACUUUCAGCCUCCAGAAUGGAUAUAUUUGGCAUUAAACUCGGGACAAAAGAAGACACAAACUUUAUCUUGUGGUUUGGGUCCUCCAAUCCUCAUAAAAGUGUGGUUUCACCUGUUACCUCAUAAAGGUGCCAUUGCUGUAUGCACAUCUGAAUCUGUUUACAAUUUGAGAAUAGAGCAAGGACUUGUGAAACCAACUUGGAGUAGAGGUUUUCCAGGAAUAUUUAGUGAAGACUUGGGGGGAGUUGUUUGCU